UGCAAUGCACCCCAGCAUUCGUGUGCCUGGGAGCUGGAGUUACCAAGAUUGCAAAUCCCUACCAGGUUUGACACAUUAGAUGCAGGAACUCUGCCACUUUCAAUCAAGAAAAACCUCUUGCAUUUGUCUCUUAAAUCAUAGGAGAAUGUCUACAGUGCGUUUAGCUGUUUGCCGCUGGUAGGUUGUAAGUGUCUCACUGGCUCCAGCUGUCAGAAAGAGGAACAUUACUUCAUCCUUUGUAUUUUAAGCAUUGGGAUAGAGCAGUCUGUGGCGAUUGGAGUCUUGUGCCUCCUUCUGCAUCUGUUUUAUCAGAAUUAUCCUGGAUUGAGGACUGAAACUUUCAAAUGCAGGAAAACCCCGAUGGUCACCGGAAUGUGGGGAUUUGAGGACCUCGUAUUUUGCUUGUAUCAUAAGCUCCCACAACAAUGCCUGACACAUGAUAAGUGCUCCGUAAAUAUCUAUUAAAUAAAUCAUUGAAACCUAAA